rnacentral:rRNA from 1 species
GCGAAGAAUCUUCCGCAAUGGGGGAAACCCUGACGGAGCGACGCCGCGUGGGCGAUGAAGGUCGUAAGAUUGUAAAGCCCUUUUAUCGGUGAAGAAUAAGCGGGGGAGUGGAAAGCCUCCGUGAUGACGUUAGCCGAUGAAUAAGCCCCGGCUAAUUACGUGCCAGCAGCCGCGGUAAUACGUAUGGGGCAAGCGUUGUUCGGAGUUAUUGGGCGUAAAGGGCGUGUAGGCGGCUCACUUUGUCUGGUGUGAAACCCCCGGGCCUAACCCGGGGCAUGCGCUGGAAACGGGUGGGCUUGAGUUCCGGAGGGGAAGCUGGAAUUCCAGGUGUAGGGGUGAAAUCUGUAGAUAUCUGGAAGAACACCGGUGGCGAAGGCGAGCUUCUAUCCGAGGACUGACGCUGAGGCGCGAAAGCGUGGGGAGCAAACAGGAUUAGAUACCCCGGUAGUCC